AAACCAGCACCUCAAGUGGUCAGGAGGAUUAUUGGGCCUAAAGCAUCCGUAGCCUGCUCUGUAAGUUUCCGGUUAAAUCCAUUAGCUCAACUAAUGGCCUGCCGGAAAUACUGCAGAGCUAGGAAGUGGGAGAGGUAGACGGUACUCGGUAGGAAGGGGUAAAAUCCUUUGAUCUAUUGAUGACCACCUGUGGCGAAGGCGGUCUACCAGAACACGUUCGACGGUGAGGGAUGAAAGCUUGGGGAGCAAACCGGAUUAGAUACCCGGGUAGUCC
rnacentral:rRNA from 1 species